GUUCUGGAACCAGAUCUUGAUCUGGCGCUCGGACAGGCAGAGUGCGUGGGCGAUCUCGAUGCGCCGUCGCCGGGUCAGGUUGCUUGUCUGGAGAUGGAGCCACUACAGGCGGGCCUGGGCGCCUGGAGUCGGGCAUGAAAGAAAAUAGCGCCUCAUCGCUCUUAUCUAAGCCCAGAGGUCCAGGGGACAACCUGAGGGCCCUGAAGUGUUUCAAUACCAUGUACCAGCUUGACUUCUCUACAUGUCCUUUGGAUUGCCCAAAAGCAAAAUCUCAGAGGGGCCAAGGACCUUCUAGGGCUGGCUCCCUCAGGGCCUCCUAUAGAGCAGCUCCUUGAGUCGGGCCUUAUAGCCACCAGAAAGUCACCUCGCCGCAGGAAAGCUAUAAAGAGCUGCUCCAGAGGCGCCGAAAGAGGGUGAGGGCUGCAGCCACAGUGUUUGUCCCCAGCACCACCAGGCCCCUUAACCUCGUCAGCUCCUCUAGCCCUCGGCCAGACUCUGGCAACACCUUGGUUUGCCUGGCACCGCAGGCAAUUUCCUGGAACCCCACCCCCACCCAGGAACGGGGACCACAGCACCUUUAAAGGAACUGCCAGAGCUUCCUCCUACGGCUUGAAAGCCCAAGCUAAUCAGUAACCCGUGAGACAGGGGCCAAUAUUCAAACGCUGCAGCAGAGGCGCAUAGCCUAGCCCUGGCCACCCCCUCUUGGGAAGGAGGUCGAGUUAAGCCGGUGUGGAGGGUCCAACAGGAACGGAAAUUACGACGGUGUGGUUCCUUAAGGAUUUGGCCCCAGUCCCACUACCAAAUUUUUCCCAAAUCAUAUUUAGGUAGACUUCGCUUGAAAAGAUCGAGAAUGGAGGAGGGGAUCGGCACUCACUUGCAGACAUCAACAGUUUCCAGAAAAUUCGGUUCAAUUCCUUCACCACGGACCCACCAACCAAGGAGCUGGCAAAACCCACUAACCAACCAGGAGAACACAGACCCGGUUUGUCUUUUGACAACCGAGUGGAACUGACGGGGCCGGCGCCUGCCCUGCGGGUCCCCUCCCUUGGCUGAGAAGAAAACCAAAUAAACCUUGAACAGCCUUGGCUUCGGAUGUCUCAAGCGGCCUCAUCCUCUCCCGCGCCUUGCCGUUUCCUCUCCCUCGCCGGCCUCGGCGGAGAUUCCAGGCCCUAUAGAAACCAGGACGUCCCUUAGCGCCACCGCCUCACAUGCCAGUGCUGCCGGGAACCCAGCGAUAUCCGCACCAGCGGAGAAGGUUCCAGGCUGCCGGCGGCGGCGCAGAGAGCGGGAAGAGAGGCUCGGAGGAAGCCCCGGGCGUGGCGUGGUCAGGCUCCGAGAGCGGCCGGGAUGCGGCCACACCGGCCUGGUAAACUCGCACCUCUUAGGAUCUUGCUCCCGGACUCAUUCCCUUCCCCACCCCCUAUUUUAAAGUUUUAUUUGGGUCGUCUGUAUCAAUUUAGAACGAGAUAAAUUAAGACAAAGAAAGUAAAAUAAAUCGAAAUAAAAUAUAGGAAUAGCUCUUGGCGAA
rnacentral:lncRNA from 1 species